rnacentral:sRNA from 1 species
CCGCCAAUGACCAGGUGGUGCAGCUGA